rnacentral:rRNA from 1 species
GUGCCAGCAGCCGCGGUAAUACGUAGGUGGCAAGCGUUGUCCGGAAUUAUUGGGCGUAAAGCGCGCGCAGGCGGCCUUUUAAGUCUGAUGUGAGAGCCCCCGGCUCAACCGGGGAGGGCCAUUGGAAACUGGAAGGCUUGAGUACAGAAGAGAAGAGUGGAAUUCCACGUGUAGCGGUGAAAUGCGUAGAGAUGUGGAGGAACACCAGUGGCGAAGGCGACUCUUUGGUCUGUAACUGACGCUGAGGCGCGAAAGCGUGGGGAGCAAACAGGAUUAGAUACCCUGGUAGUCCACGCCGUAAACGAUGAGUGCUAGGUGUUGGGGGGUUUCCGCCCCUCAGUGCUGAAGCUAACGCAUUAAGCACUCCGCCUGGGGAGUACGGCCGCAAGGCUGAA